rnacentral:rRNA from 1 species
AGUGAACGCUGGCGGUAGGCCUAACACAUGCAAGUCGAACGGCAGCACAGUAAGAGCUUGCUCUUACGGGUGGCGAGUGGCGGACGGGUGAGGAAUACAUCGGAAUCUACUUUUUCGUGGGGGAUAACGUAGGGAAACUUACGCUAAUACCGCAUACGACCUACGGGUGAAAGCAGGGAAUCUUCGGACCUUGCGCGAUUGAAUGAGCCGAUGUCGGAUUAGCUAGUUGGCGGGGUAAAGGCCCACCAAGGCGACGAUCCGUAGCUGGUCUGAGAGGAUGAUCAGCCACACUGGAACUGAGACACGGUCCAGACUCCUACGGGAGGCAGCAGUGGGGAAUAUUGGACAAUGGGCGCAAGCCUGAUCCAGCCAUACCGCGUGGGUGAAGAAGGCCUUCGGGUUGUAAAGCCCUUUUGUUGGGAAAGAAAAGCAGCAGGUUAAUACCCCGCUGUUCUGACGGUACCCAAAGAAUAAGCACCGGCUAACCUCGUG